AAAUGGACUAUAACUGCAAAAUAAAAUAUAUUUUUGUGAAGAAACUAAUGGCAGUGAGGAACUUAACUAAGCAGUGAUGACUGGUGGAGAGUGAGUGUGUUGCAGGACCUGUGUAUUAUUACAGAGAGUUUACAAAAAAAAAUUCCAUUGUUUCAGGGAAGGCAGACAAGAUGCUCCAUUGGGAACAGAUGGCUUUCUGGAAAUCUCCCAACAAGGACUACUCCUGGAAUAGAUUUCAUCUGCAAGCCCCACACAGAGCUUCUGACAUGGUAGGAAGUGGAAUCUCUGCUCUUAACUCUUGGCCAGCAAUCCUAGCUGUGGGAGGAACAAAGCCUUGAAUACAGUCAUUAAAAUUCAAUGCAACAAUUACAGUUAAUGUGCGUUAAUUUGGGCAUGUUAAGCUACUUACUAUAUGCCAGAUAUAUUAUUGUAACUGGCAAUAACAAGGAUAUCAUUUUUAGCAGUGUCACAGAUUCUGUUAAGCAGAGACUCUGGUCUGAGUAGCUUGUUAAUAAACAUAAUUGUCUAGUAA